GACGGAGGGGGCAAGCGUUGUCCGGAAUCACUGGGCGUAAAGCGCGUGUAGGUGGUGCGGUGCGUCGGCGCUGAAAGCUCUGGGCUCAACCCAGAGACGGGUGCCGAUACGACCGGACUGGAGGCAGAGAGAGGGUAGCGGAAUUCCGGGUGUAGUGGUGAAAUGCGUAGAGAUCCGGAGGAACGCCAGAGACGAAGGUGGCUACCUGGCUCUGACCUGACACUGAGACGCGAUAGCGUGGGGAGCGAACCGG
rnacentral:rRNA from 1 species